rnacentral:lncRNA from 1 species
UUUCUGAACAACGCCACAAAGCAGUUUUUAACUACUAUCCUUAUUUUCAGAUAAGAACCUCACUUAUGCCCAAGUGACAAAGGCGGAAUUUAUCCGGUCUUUCUGGCUUCCAAGUCCAACGCCAGGGCGCGCUUUGUGCCGGGCUCAUGGUCAGUAUCCAAUACGGAAACGCGCAUUACCCUCCCGCCGCCGGCCUGGAUCUUCCCCGCUCCCGCUGCAGUCAGCUCCCGCACCCCAGUCUGCAGGGAACAUGUUCCGACAACACUCGCCCCAUCUGGGCCCCUGGAGCCCACACCCACCCGUCUUUGCCAGGUCUACGUUCCUGCCGGGGUCGGCACUUGGGGUGAACGGGGAGUUCCCGAGACGUCGUGGUCCCUUCCUCUGGGCACGAGCCCGCCCCUCUCCCUCCCGGCGUGCGGAGUUGGCCUCUCUCACCUGAGGGCAAACCCGGCGCAUCCCCACAGCCAGGGAGGACGGAAGCCGGUAAAUGGGGGUGACUGCACAUGCGCAGGGAAAAGCCCAGGAUAUCCGUUCCUAGAAUGCCGCGCGGUCAGCCGGAACAUCCAGAACUACAUUUCCAUGAAAAUACCGCGACCGCUCGCAGGUUUCGUGUACGUUGGGGCAGUCCACGUGGCAGGGAGGCAGACGGAAACCCUAUCUCUUCACUCUUAUCCCAUGCCUGAGACCCUACCUUACACCGAAGGAAAACUGGCCUGUGUGUGCUGAGAUGGCUGCAGAACAAUGACACCAAACACCAAGCAGACAAAGUCAUUUUUUGACCCUUAUGAUGUAACACAAACAAGGUCAUUGUUUUGCAUGAGUAAAGACAAAAACAAGGUUGCUCUGCUACUCUCAAAAUAUCAAACACCCCCCUCUCACCUAAUACAAGUGACUGUUGCUUGUUUUUUUUGUUUUUUUUUUUUGUUUGUUUUUGUUUUGUUUUGCUUUGCUUUGCUUUAACAACACCCAAUCCUGAAUAAACUCAGCUGCGUUGGAACCACUGCAAAAUGAAGUAACUAACACUCAAAUCCUAUAAUUCCUUCCUAACAUCUGUUACUGAAGCACUUUAUCAUUCCUAUCAUCCAAUGUAAUAUGUGCUCUGUCUUACUGCAAUGACUACUAAAAUCUAAAUUGUUCAACUGCAUGUGUGUUGCUG